rfam:Rhodobacteraceae bacterium HLTCCO18 ITZY_scaf_195, whole genome shotgun sequence.
GGGGACCUCAGGGGCCCUACACACCACAGACAGCCGGGCCCAUACCCGGCGCGAAGCAAACGGAAGACAGAAA